ACCCUAACCAAAUCGACGGAACAGAUUAGAUCACGUGUCCUUGUACAACUAACCUAUCCACCAAACAACAGCAGAAUGAUAGGCUACCCAGGCGCUUGGAGAGAGAUACGCACGCUGGUACGGGAAUGGGUCUGUGUUGACGGGCCAUAUGGAUUGGUGAGAGGAGUUCCAAGUGCCAAGUCUUCUCUGCUCCACACUGCGCUGCCCAGGCGCGACGCGGAGCUCCUAUAGACUGCAGUCUGCUCAGCGCACACUGCAAGUCGGAAAACUGUCAUGACGGAAGAGUGGGAAUGGGAGAAAAGAGAAGGAGAGGAGAGCGAACGCUUUGUACAUUGUUUGACAUUAGUUAUUAUCAGUGAGUCUGGCAAUGUCCUUGUUACUGAGACUCAACAGUAGCCUAGAGACUCGGAUAGGUAGCUUUGUCUGUUUAAUUGUUGCACCCGCUGCCCCGCUUACCACAGAAUUGCAUCACGAAGUUUGCGUAUUGUUUGUGUGCCAUUCUUGCACUCCCAUUUCAACCAGAAAAGGAGCCAACUGUACCUCAGGUUCCGAACUUCUUUCAAGAUGAGACGUGGACACCUUGACGCAGAGGCCUAGAUUCAGUGAGAAUGCGUCUUUAAUGACUGCAAGCCCUCUGUUAAGAUAAUAAAAACGAAAUAGGCUUUUAUAUGUUUACGCAUUUGAUAUGUUGUGUUUUACACCUCCAAAGGUACAUCUUUGUCUGUUGCUAACCGUUUUGAUGUGCCCAUGGGACCAUUACGCCAUAAAGUCUGUCACUCAGUGUCUGUCAGUGGUUACAUUCUUAGGCCUCCAAAUUAACACAACAAGCUAAAUGAAUUAACGUUUAACUGUGAUACCCUAACUUUGUAGGCUACACUGCGCACAAGGAAGGCUUUGCUGAUAAGGCCUACUGUCACUUGUCUUGCGUUCAGUGGUGCUCAUCUCAAUUUAUGUCCAUAGUCAGUGGAAUUUGUGCGUGCAGAGUCAAGCAUAGCUGAGCCAAAGAAUUGUGUCUCAUUUGAUACUGCAUGUGCAGAUUUUGUAUGUUAACAUCUGUUAAAAAAAUGAGUGAUGAUUGAUGCACCGAAUUUACGGCCUGCUGCAACAGGUAAUGUGCCAUCUAACAGCAAAUUACCAUUUUGGCAACUCUGAUUGACGGCCGAUUGCAUUUCGGUUUAUCACAGAGGUGAACUUUUCAACAGCUGCUGCGCAGUUAUGUUUCAAGCGAUUAAAAAAUGUAAAACCUCAUAAUUUGUCCGGCACAGAUAGCCUAACCUACGGCGACCAUUUCUGAAAUCUGUAACAGGCACCUUAUAUGAUAUAUCACUCGUGAUAGAUUGUUUCACUUCUGCUGAUUUUCCCCCAGAAUCACUUAUUGUGAAGGUGUGAGCACGUGUUUUUCUAUUAAAAGAUAAUAGCCUGUGUCUGUGAAAUCAUACUUAACAUAGAUUACUCAGUUUGCACACAAGUCGUAAACUAGGUUACUGUGAAUCGUGUAUUAUUGUAAAAAGAGUACUCAGUUUAUGUCUCCAGCUUUCGAGAGACUUGGAUUCUGUAAGCUUUGGUUUUUAUUUCUUUUCAGACAAAUUAAAUCUCGCAAACUCGUGGGCACCCAU